GCCGCCCUAGCUCAGUUGGUAGAGCGCAAGGCUCUUAACCUUGUGCUCGGUGAUUCGAGGUCCCCGGGCGGCG
rnacentral:tRNA from 1 species